CUUUUCUCUUUGUUUUUUUUACUUCUUGGAGCUAGGUCGAAAAUCCAAAGAAAUUGGCGAGAGAGAAUUCGAGGUGGACGGAAUGCUUAAAUUCGGAUGUUCCUUCUUCUCUUUUCUUCUCCUGUUCUCUCUUUGUUUUCAUGUAGGGCCAUAGGGGAAAUUGCGGCAGACAUUAAACGCUGGGAGAGAGAUGAAGGCUUGGUUUUAAGGUGGGUAAAGGGAAGAUGGAAUCAGACGAUGGUGAGAAUGAUUUUAGGGUUUCGGGGAUGCGAAUUAGGGAUUUAGAUGAAACCUGAAAAAGGGGCUAGAGAAGGAAGGAUAUAGACACUUAAUCAAGCAUUUUGAUAAACCUAAGGGUGAAAAAGAGGACUGAGAAAGUCACAGUGUUCGGUGGGAGUGCGCAGGAAUCAAAAUCCAGUGUUCAAGACAACCCAAUGACAAUGAUUGUGGGUAUUACGUGUAUCAAUAUAUGAAGGAAAUUAUCACAUAUUGUGAAAGAGGAACAAUUCCAACUUAUAAUUUGUCUAGUUACAGAUGUCGACAAUAUCGUGACAGCCAGAUAAUUGAAGUUAGGAAAAAUUAGUAUUUACAUGUAAUCAGUACAUACUUAUAGGUUACGUUAUGGUGAUGUAUAUGCUUAUAAGUACUGAUAUGAUAUAUAUGUUAUGAUUGUAUAUAUUAUCUUAUAAAGCAAUGUCAUGUCAUGAUACAUAUUAGACAACUUAACUAUUAUAUGUUGAAAUAUUAGUGUACCUAUAAUUUUUAUUCA